rnacentral:rRNA from 1 species
AGCAGCCGCGGUAAUUCCAGCUCCAAUAGCGUAUAUUAAAGUUGUUGCAGUUAAAAAGCUCGUAGUUGAAUUUCGGGGUCAGUAGGUUGGUCGUGCCACUGGUAUGUACUGGCUUCACUGAUUCCUCCUUCCUGAUGAGCCGUAAUGCCAUUAAUUUGGUGUUGCGAGGAAUCUGGACUGUUACUUUGAAAAAUUAGAGUGUUUAAAGCAAGCUAACGCUUGAAUACAUUAGCAUGGAAUAAUGAAAUAGGACGUUCGGUCUUAUUUUGUUGGUUUCUAAGAUUGACGUAAUGAUUAAUAGGGAUAGUUGGGGGCAUUAGUAUUCAAUUGUCAGAGGUGAAAUUCUUGGAUUUAUUGAAGACUAACUACUGCGAAAGCAUUUGCCAAGGAUGUUUUCAUUAAUCAAGAACGAAAGUUAGGGGAUCGAAGACGAUCAGAUACCGUCGUAGUCUUAACCAUAAACUAUGCCGACUAGGGAUCGGAUGAUGUUAAUUUUUAAUGACUCAUUCGGCG